UACGAAGGGGGCUAGCGUUGCUCGGAAUCACUGGGCGUAAAGCGCACGUAGGCGGACUCUUAAGACAGGGGUGAAAUCCUGGAGCUCAACUCCAGAACUGCCUUUGAUACUGGGAGUCUUGAGUUCGGGAGAGGUGAGUGGAACUGCGAGUGUAGAGGUGAAAUUCGUAGAUAUUCGCAAGAACACCAGUGGCGAAGGCGGCUCACUGGCCCGAUACUGACGCUGAGGUGCGAAAGCGUGGGGAGCAAACAGG
rnacentral:rRNA from 1 species